GGAGAAUUGCUUGAGCCUGGGAGGUGGAGGUUGCAGUGAGCUGAGAUCACGCGACUGCACCCCAGUCUGGGUAACAGAGUGAGACUCUGUCUC
rnacentral:miRNA from 1 species